GCAAUUCCUGGGCUCCCUCCGCUCCACCGAAUGCCUCCCCAGUCACCCCUCAGGAGCUGCUGGCACUGUCAGAAGCCUUCUGGCAGACACUGGAGCCACGAUGAAGCCCCCAAGGCCUGUCUGUACCUGCAGCAAAGUUCUGGUCCUGCUUUCACUGCUGGCCAUCCACCAGACCACCACUGCCGAAAAGGUAGCCAGCAUCCAUGGGUGUGGCAUGAGCUGGGGGAUGAGAGAACGCCUGGGAAGUGGGGAAGAGCCUCCACAUGUGUGAGCGUGUCAGAACAAGUGCGUGUGCAUCAGUGUGUGUGCAAAAAAAUGGUGCAGACCUCCCGCCAGGCACUACCCCUAGGGCCUUACUGGUAUUUUCCCACCUAAUAGAGGGGAUGAUCCAAUCAUUUCCACUUUGCAAAUGAGGAAAUACAGUUUUACAAGCGUGGCUCUACUGCCUUUUAGUAAAUGACCUCAGAGGAAUGAUUUAUGCUGUCUAUGUCUCAAUUUCCUCAUGUGUAAAACAGGGUAAUACUAGAACCUAUUCAGAGGGUGGCGGUUGUGGAAACCAAACCCAUUGUAUCUAUAAAGUGCUUAGGACAGUGCUUGUCGCAGAGCAAAUACCCAAGCACGUAAACAAGCCACUUGGCACCUCUGUGCCAAACUGCGUUCAGGCAGCCACAUGCAGCCGAGCAGAGUUGGUGCGGUGCGCAUGAGCAUGUCGCACACAAGCAGGUAAGAGGUGCCCGUGUGCCCCUCCUCGGGGGACACAGGCCUCGAGGCAAAUGGCACAUGCUAGGGGAGUGCCCUGCGGAAGGGGGGAUGGGUUGGGGAGAGUCCACUGC
rnacentral:sRNA from 1 species